GGUUACGAGAAGUUUCUGAGAAGCUGAACAAAUAUAAUUUAAACAGCCACCCCCCUUUGAAUGUAUUGGAACAGGCUACUAUUAAACAGUGUGUGGUGGGACCAAAUCAUGCUGCCUUUCUUCUUGAGGAUGGUAGAGUUUGCAGGAUUGGUUUUUCAGUACAGCCAGACAGAUUGGAAUUGGGUAAACCUGAUAAUAAUGAUGGGUCAAAGUUGAACAGCAACUCGGGGGCAGGGAGGACGUCAAGGCCUGGUAGGACAAGCGACUCUCCAUGGUUUCUCUCAGGUUCUGAGACUCUAGGCAGGCUGGCAGGCAACACCUUAGGAAGCCGCUGGAGUUCUGGAGUGGGUGGAAGUGGUGGAGGAUCCUCUGGUAGGUCGUCAGCUGGAGCUCGAGAUUCCCGCCGGCAGACUCGAGUUAUUCGGACAGGACGGGAUCGAGGGUCUGGGCUUUUGGGCAGUCAGCCCCAGCCAGUUAUUCCAGCAUCUGUCAUUCCAGAGGAGCUGAUUUCAC
rnacentral:lncRNA from 1 species